GGGCGCAUGGUGUAGUUGGUUAUCACGUUCGCUUUGCAUUCAAGACUGGGUGUGUUAUGCGAAAGGUGUUGGGUUCAAUUCCCAAUGUGUCCA